UAAAGGCGUUCCUUAAUCAUUAGGAAGAUUUGCGGUUAGAACGUUUGAAUUUCUUCCUCUGUUAAAUUGUUUAAUACCAUGUUCCAUUGUUGUUGAUACUUAGUUGAUGAUUAGUGCGUUUUGUUUAAUCAAGUACCUACUACAUUCCUUGUUUGGAAAAUCCAAAGUAGAUAUAGAAGUUUUUGUGGUACAGCUAAAAACAGCCAUGGAAAGUAUACCUAUCCAAACGACAGAUUGCUGCAUUAAUUAUGUUGAUCUUGAAAUAUGUGGCUUCAAACAAGCAAGAAUGUGUCCUCAUUUACAGAAAAAGGUUAAAAAUUAUGAGCAAUGUGUCGAACUUUCAGAAAUACCUGAGCAAAGAUUGAAGUUUCUUGCCAAAUAAGUGCAUUUAUGAAACAGUUGGGGGAAUGAUUGAAACAACAGGACAGCUAAAUGCAGAUCAAAACUCGAUACUUGGAUACUUGCGAAGUACUUCGAUACUUGAAAACUGACGUGUGUACCAAUGGCAAUGUGGAAGGAUAAACUUAUAUUUAAAAUUUCAACAUACAUUUUGUAAUUUAUUUGAAUGAAUAAGUCUAACGUUUAAAUUUGUCAGUACUAAUAAACUUGUCCCUUUUUGGAUAUACCUUUCA